GGUUAACGGCCAUCAUGUGACCAUGUGUGACCUCACAAGGGGCCAUUGUGAGGACUGAGAGCUGUCCACCCAUGUCAGGCGCAGGCUGGGGUGGAGCUGGUCCUCACACAGAGGAGAAGCUGGUGGGUGGAGGGCAAGCGGCUGGACCUUCUCCAGUUCUGACAGAGGUGGGUUCUGUUAAUCUUCUGAAAGACACUGGUGUUCUGUUCUGAGCUGAAUGAACAUGAAUAUCAUCCUUGGUGAAUUAAUGAAUGCUUAAUUUGAACCUUCUACCCUGCUGUGCCGGUCCUGAUGAGAUGUGAAAUGGAAAAGCCUGUGAGGGCAGGAGACUGCUGCUUCGCCCAUCUCGCUGCGGAACACACCAUCCUAAACCUAGCAGCCUGAAGAGCCAACACCUACUCAUCUCUCUCCACUCUGGGGAUUUCUGUUGCUGCCCUUGUCUGGCCUCACUCAUGGCACCAGUCCUGUCGGAGACAGCUGGGGCAUCAAAGCAAGUUCUCUCCCAAAUUCUGGGCUCCCUCACUUGCUGUGGAUAUCACUCCAUAUAAAUAAAACAUUGAUUGGCCAGUGA